UAGGGAAUCUUCCGCAAUGGACGCAAGUCUGACGGAGCAACGCCGCGUGAGUGAAGAAGGAUUUCGGUUCGUAAAACUCUGUUGUUAGAGAAGAACAGCGCAUAGAGUAACUGUUAUGCGUGUGACGGUAUCUAACCAGAAAGCCACGGCUAACUACGUGCCAGCAGCCGCGGUAAUACGUAGGUGGCAAGCGUUGUCCGGAUUUAUUGGGCGUAAAGCGAGCGCAGGCGGUCAAUUAAGUCUGAUGUGAAAGCCCCCGGCUCAACCGGGGAGGGUCAAUGGAAACUGGUUGACUUGAGUGCAGAAGAGGGGAGUGGAAUUCCAUGUGUAGCGGUGAAAUGCGUAGAUAUAUGGAGUAACACCAGUGGCGAAGGCGACUCUCUGGUCUGUAACUGACGCUGAGGCUCGAAAGCGUGGGUAGCAAACAGG
rnacentral:rRNA from 1 species